rnacentral:rRNA from 1 species
CGGCUCAGUAACACGUGGAUAACCUACCCUUGAGACGGGGAUAAACCCGGGAAACUGGGUAUAAUACCCGAUAGAUCUCGACUGCUGGAAUGCAUCGAGCUUGAAAGCUCCGGCGCUCAAGGAUGGGUCUGCGGCCUAUCAGGUAGUAGUGGGUGUAGCGUACCUACUAGCCUACGACGGGUACGGGUUGUGAGAGCAAGAGCCCGGAGAUGGAUUCUGAGACACGAAUCCAGGCCCUACGGGGUGCAGCAGGCGCGAAAACUUUACAAUGCUGGAAACAGCGAUAAGGGGACCUCGAGUGCCAGGUUACAAAUCUGGCUGUCGUGAUGCCUAAAAAGCAUUGCAUAGCAAGGGCCGGGCAAGACCGGUGCCAGCCGCCGCGGUAACACCGGCGGCUCGAGUGGUAACCGUUAUUAUUGGGUCUAAAGGGUCUGUAGCCGGCCGGAUAAGUCUCUUGGGAAAUCUGGCAGCUUAACUGUCAGGCUUUCAGGAGAUACUGUCUGGCUCGAGGCCGGGAGAGGUGAGAGGUACUUCAGGGGUAGGGGUGAAAUCUUGUAAUCCUUGAAGGACCACCAGUGGCGAAGGCGUCUCACCAGAACGGACCUGACGGC